rnacentral:rRNA from 1 species
UACGGGGGGAGCAAGCGUUGUUCGGAUUUACUGGGCGUAAAGGGCGCGUAGGCGGCCACCGCAAGUCAAUUGUGAAAUCUCCGGGCUUAACUCGGAAAGGUCAACUGAUACUGCGGGGCUAGAGUGCAGAAGGGGCAACUGGAAUUCUUGGUGUAGCGGUGAAAUGCGUAGAGAUCAGGAGGAACACCCAUGGCGAAGGCAGCUCUCUGGUCGACCUCUGACGCUGAGACGCGAAAGCGUGGGGAGCGAUCCGG